CGCGUAGGCGGUAAGGCAAGUCAGGUGUGAAAGCCCUGGGCUUAACCCAGGAAGUGCACUUGAAACUGCCUUUCUUGAGUACGGGAGAGGGAAGUGGAAUUCCCAGUGUAGAGGUGAAAUUCGUAGAUAUUGGGAGGAACACCGGUGGCGAAGGCGACUUCCUGGACCGAUACUGACGCUAAAGUGCGAAAGCGUGGGGAGCAAACAGGAUUAGAUACCCUGGUAGUCCACGCUGUAAACGAUGGGCACUAGGUGUAGAGGGUAUUGACCCCUUCUGUGCCGUAGCUAACGCAUUAAGUGCCCCGCCUGGGGAGUACGGUCGCAAGGCUAAA
rnacentral:rRNA from 1 species